rnacentral:rRNA from 1 species
AUUGAACGCUGGCGGCAGGCCUAACACAUGCAAGUCGAGCGGAUGAAGGGAGCUUGCUCCUGGAUUCAGCGGCGGACGGGUGAGUAAUGCCUAGGAAUCUGCCUGGUAGUGGGGGAUAACGUCCGGAAACGGGCGCUAAUACCGCAUACGUCCUGAGGGAGAAAGUUGGGGUUCUUCGUACCUCUCGCUAUCAUAUGAGCCUAGGUCGGAUUAGCUAGUUGGUGGGGUAAAGGCCUACCAAGGCGACGAUCCGUAACUGGUCUGAGAGGAUGAUCAGUCACACUGGAACUGAGACACGGUCAAGACUCCUACGGGAGGAAGCAGUGGGGAAUAUUGGACAAUGGGCGAAAGCCUGAUCGAGCAAUGCCGAGUGUGUGAAGAAGGUCUUCGGAUUGGAAAGCACUUUAAGUUGGGAGGAAGGGAAGUAAGUUAAUACCUUGCUGUUUUGACGGUAACAACAGAAUAAGCACCGGCUAACUUCGUG